AGUUUCAGCUUGGACACUGAGCCAAGCAGACAAGCAAAGCAAGCCAGGACACACCAUCCUGCCCCAGGCCCAGCUUCUCUCCUGCCUUCCAACGCCAUGGGGAGCAAUCUCAGCCCCCAACUCUGCCUGAUGCCCUUUAUCUUGGGCCUCUUGUCUGGAGUACGUGUGUCCUUCUGGCUUCUACCCGUACCCUGUGCAGACACGUACCUGCAGAUCUACGGGGUCCUGGAGCACCCUGAAGACUCAAGACCAAAAGACUGUCAGGAAGGCAGAGUGCAGAGCAAUCCACUGUCCAAGACCACACGACUUCGAGAACGGGGAAUACUGGCCCCGGUCUCCCUACUACAAUGUGAGUGAUGAGAUCUCUUUCCACUGCUAUGACGGUUACACUCUCCGGGGCUCUGCCAAUCGCACCUGCCAAGUGAAUGGCCGGUGGAGUGGGCAGACAGCGAUCUGUGACAACGGAGCGGGGUACUGCUCCAACCCGGGCAUCCCCAUUGGCACAAGGAAGGUGGGCAGCCAGUACCGCCUUGAAGACAGCGUCACCUACCACUGCAGCCGGGGGCUUACCCUGCGUGGCUCCCAGCGGCGAACGUGUCAGGAAGGUGGCUCUUGGAGCGGGACGGAGCCUUCCUGCCAAGACUCCUUCAUGUACGACACCCCUCAAGAGGUGGCCGAAGCUUUCCUGUCUUCCCUGACAGAGACCAUAGAAGGAGUCGAUGCUGAGGAUGGGCACGGCCCAG
rnacentral:misc_RNA from 1 species